ACUAAGUUUAGGAUGAAACU
rnacentral:snRNA from 1 species